UUUGACAAUUAAUCUAUGCGAAGACAAUGGAUCUAACAUUCUAGAUCAAGUGUCGAUUUGUUAAAGAAUCAAAUGGUUUUAUCAAUGGAUUUCAAGAUAAUCUCCUCAUUCUACGAUUGUUUGGUGUGGAUUUCUCGCAAUCAAAGUCUACACCUCACUAUGUCGCUUCUGAUUCUC